rnacentral:rRNA from 1 species
GACGAACGCUGGCGGCGUGCUUAACACAUGCAAGUCGAACGGAAAGGCCCUGCUUUUGUGGGGUGCUCGAGUGGCGAACGGGUGAGUAACACGUGAGUAACCUGCCCUUGACUUUGGGAUAACUUCAGGAAACUGGGGCUAAUACCGGAUAGGAGCUCCUGCUGCAUGGUGGGGGUUGGAAAGUUUCCGCGGUCGGGGAUGGACUCGCGGCUUAUCAGCUUGUUGGUGGGGUAGUGGCUUACCAAGGCUUUGACGGGUAGCCGGCCUGAGAGGGUGACCGGCCACAUUGGGACUGAGAUACGGCCCAGACUCCUACGGGAGGCAGCAGUGGGGAAUAUUGCACAAUGGGCGGAAGCCUGAUGCAGCAACGCCGCGUGCGGGAUGACGGCCUUCGGGUUGUAAACCGCUUUCGCCUGUGACGAAGCGUGAGUGACGGUAAUGGGUAAAGAAGCACCGGCUAACUACGUG